rnacentral:rRNA from 1 species
AGGGACCACAAUUGGGCACACCCUGUGAUACACACCCCAUGCGCGGUGAGAUGAAGGAAGGCCCUUCGGGUGUAAAGCUCUUUCAGCCGGGAGAAACGCCAUGGGUUAAUACCUGUGUGGAUGACGUACCGGAAAAGAAGCACCGGCUAACUACGUGCCAGCAGCCGCGGUAAUACGUAGGGUGCGAGCGUAAUCGGAAUUACUGGGCGUAAAGCGUGCGCAGGCGGUUUUGUAAGACAGGCGUGAAAUCCCCGGGCUCAACCUGGGAACUGCGUUUGUGACUGCAAGGCUAGAGUAUGGCAGAGGGGGGUGGAAUUCCACGUGUAGCAGUGAAAUGCGUAGAGAUGUGGAGGAACACCGAUGGCGAAGGCAGCCCCCUGGGCCAAUACUGACGCUCAUGCACGAAAGCGUGGGUAGCAAACAGGAUUAGAUACCCUGGUAGUCCACGCCCUAAACGAUGUCAACUAGGUGUUGGGUGGGUAAAACCAUUUAGUACCGGAGCUAACGCGUGAAGUUGACCGCCUGGGGAGUACGGCCGCAAGGUUAAAACUCAAAGGAAUUGACGGGGACCCGCACAAGCGGUGGAUGAUGUGGAUUAAUUCGAUGCAACGCGAAAAACCUUACCUACCCUUGACAUGUCCGGAAGCCCUUAGAGAUUUGGGUGUGCUCGAAAGAGAGCCGGAACACAGGUGCUGCAUGGCUGUCGUCAGCUCGUGUCGUGAGAUGUUGGGUUAAGUCCCGCAACGAGCGCAACCCUUGUCGUUAAUUGCCAUCAUUCAGUUGGGCACUUUAACGAGACUGCCGGUGACAAACCGGAGGAAGGUGGGGAUGACGUCAAGUCCUCAUGGCCCUUAUGGGUAGGGCUUCACACGUCAUACAAUGGUCGGUACAAAGGGUCGCCAACCCGCGAGGGGGAGCCAAUCCCAGAAAGCCGAUCGUAGUCCGGAUCGUAGGCUGCAACUCGCCUGCGUGAAGUCGGAAUCGCUAGUAAUCGUGGAUCAGCAUGUCACGGUGAAUACGUUCCCGGGUCUUGUACACAUCGCCCGUCACACCAUGGGAGCGGGUUCCGCCAGAAGUAGGUAGCCUAACCGCAAGGGGGGCGCUUACCACGGCGGGGUUCGUGACUGGGGUG